GCGCCUGUAGCUCAGUUGGAUAGAGCAACGGAUUUCUAAUCCGUAGGUCGCAGGUUCGAAUCCUGCCAGGCGCACCA
rnacentral:tRNA from 1 species